rnacentral:lncRNA from 1 species
GAGGCAAGGAGCUACCCCCCUGUGACAGAGGCUCGGGAAUCUCCAUUAUGUGAGGUCGUCACAUUUAGGCUUGAAGAGUCUGGUAUUUUGCAGACUGGAAAACACGGAGCACUUCGUAACACUCAUGGAGUAAUGAAGCAAGGACCAAAGCCUCCUGGAGGGAGAUGUGUCAAAGGAGUCACAGCCAGCAUGCUGCAGUUUAUACAGCCUCAGUAGGAAAUAUGAAGCAUGGCUGAAAGUUUAUUUUCAUUCACCAAAGUAAAUUCACUGCUCAGAGAAGAGAGGUCCGAGUCUUCCGUGCUUCAUUUUGAAGUGUUAUGUCAGUUUAGAAAGCCCACAAGGAAGGACUCAUGUAGGGAGUGGCGUUCGGAAGAUCUCGCGAUGUACGGAAGGAAUAGCUGUAGCCCUCCCUUGCUACGAGGUAACAGCUACUGGUAAA